rnacentral:rRNA from 1 species
CCUACGGGAGGCAGCAGUGAGGAAUAUUGGUCAAUGGGCGCGAGCCUGAACCAGCCAAGUCGCGUGAAGGAAGACGGUGCUAUGGAUUGUAAACCUCUUUUGUCGAGGAGCAAAAGACGCCACGCGUGCCUGUCCGAGAGUACCCGAAGAAAAAGCAUCGGCUAACUCCGUGCCAGCAGCCGCGGUAAUACGGAGGAUGCGAGCGUUAUCCGGAUUUAUUGGGUUUAAAGGGUGCGCAGGCGGAAGAUUAAGUCAGCGGUAAAAUUGAGGGGCUCAACCUCUUCGAGCCGUUGAAACUGGUUGUCUUGAGUGAGUGAGAAGUAUGCGGAAUGCGUGGUGUAGCGGUGAAAUGCAUAGAUAUCGCGCAGAACUCCGAUUGCGAAGGCAGCAUACCGGCGCUCAACUGACGCUCAUGCACGAAAGUGUGGGUAUCGAACAGGAUUAGAUACCCGUGUAGUC